ensembl:lncRNA
ACAAACUAGUACAAAGAUACCGGGUGAAGUAUUUUGGUUUUUGAUUGAAUCACAGGUCUCCGGACCGUGCUCUCUCGGGCUCCGUGCUUAUGUGUUUAAAAAUCUCUUAAACCAUAUUAAAAUUGUUUAGUUAAACUUGUGCUUUUGUAACGUUCAGUAUGGCCGGAAAUACAGGCUGCAUGCCUUGGGGCAAAACUUUAUUUCGAUUUAUAUGCAUUUGUAGAUUUAGAAUAAAACUCAUACUCAGAAAAAAACUCUCGCGAUCCCCGCAGCCCCCUUAACCUAAUCCUUAGAAACAUAAGCAGGGAAAACUCCUUAAAAACUCCUCCGCGAUUUCCCCAAAAACCCUAGAAUAACUUGUUAGCUACCCUCUAUUCCCAAAAGCCUUAUAAUCCAAAACAGGGGGAAAACUCCUUAGUCUUUUUUCUUCAAAAACUUCCCUCUUACUAGCAACCUCUAAAAUUCAACGCACAGUCUAAGUUCUACCUCGCUCUUAAUCGCCGACCCUUCCAGAGCAGAGCACAAUUUUUUCCUCCUUGUUCGUUCCCCGCUCUGCUCCUAAAUGCGCUGCUUACAUCGUUUGAAAAUUUUCCGCCAGAGACCAACUCCCCCUCACUUCGCCCCCUGCCAAUCACAUAACAAAUCGCACAGCUCCCUUCGCACCCCGGUUAGCCAAUCGGCUCCAGGUCUGAUUUUACGAUCUCCCGCUGAGGUUAAGACUGCCGUCGAGCUCCCAGAAGACCUCUGACUUGAGACGUAUCAACAACUGGCGCCGCUCAGACUGCUUGCGGGCUCGCAACAGCCACGAAAACAGGGAUCGACAACAACUGCCUUCGCAUGCCCUAUGUGCAAAUCAGUCGGUAAGUGUUAAUCUUCCCCCGUCUAACUACAUUUUCGCAUUUUCCUUUUUACCAUUCUCUCAAAAGCUUUUUCAUCUUCAAAAACCAUGCAAAAUAGCUUCUGUAACACUUGGAAUACACUUUUUAAAAAUAUAAAUAAGCUCGCCUCUAACACUCAGAGCUAAAAAGUGCGUUUGUACACUAAACUGUAGCAGCGAUCAUGUCCUCAUCAGGUACCUCAUUUUUCUCACUCUUGUUCAUAUAAUGUUUAUAUUUUACUGUUUUUCCCCGCUUGUAAAUACUCGUUGUUAUUUCUUUUCAGACUCUGAGAUAAGCGAGCUCAAUUCCUCUCUUUUUGGUUCUCUCGAUCGAGUUGACUUGGACAGCUUUAUUUUUUUCGAGUUCGCCGAAUUCUUCUCCACCAGUGCUUGAGCGAUCCACAGGCAAGAAUAUUCGUCUUUCAACACAGGACAGACUGCAUCUGCUCUCUAUGCUAGAUCGCCCCGCUUCAUCCGGCCCCAGUUCCAUCCCCGUCGGAGCUUGUUCUCUCCAGCGACCCUCUGGGAAAAACUUGCGCCUGGCCGCCGGGGACAGGCAAAACUCGCUCUCCGAUCUCACUCCGGAUGCUCCGGCCAAUCGGAGCCCCAGAAACGCUUCUUCUUCUCCGCCAUCACACACACGAAAUGCACCGCGCCUGCCUUUGAGACCCAAUCACGGUCAGUCUCUCUAGGUUCUCGCUUUUUCUCAUUUUAUAAAAACUAUCCCUUUUCUAUUUAACUUUACUAACUGUUUGUAUCUUACCCUCAAAUUCUCAGGGCAUCUCAGAAGGAGGAAUAGCAGGACCGGUAGGAUCGCAAGGACAACGAGGACAACGAGGACAAGGCGAACACGCACACGAAGGCAGCUCGCUUCAAUUGCUCUUCGUGCGGUAUCUCUGUUCGCUGAAUUAGUUCAGCUCAUCUUAUAAAAAGUUUGUGUUUUUUUUUUUCAUUUUGUUUUUUCAAACAAACUGUCUUUUGUGGUUUUUUGUUCUUUUAAUAUAUUCCUGUUAAGCAAUAAUAAUAAAAAAUGGAUAACCAGGAACAAGAUAUUACAGACCCAUUUCUUGCUUUAGAAACAGCGUUAGCUAGGUUAAAUGAAAAUACACAGCUCAGGAGGGCGAAGCUGGAGCUGCCCGCACCAGGUAAAGAGGACGAGUUUCCCAAGAAGCCUCUAGGGCAGCUUCCUCCUGAGAUAGCCGCAGCAAACCACGUGGCCAACAGUCAAAGCCACGCGGAGCCAGC